UACGGAGGGUGCAAGCGUUAAUCGGAAUUACUGGGCGUAAAGGGCGCGUAGGUGGUUGAAUAAGUUGGCUGUGAAAUCCCUGGGCUUAACCUAGGGUGGUCAGUCAAUACUGUUGAACUAGAGUACGGGAGAGGGUAGUGGAAUUUCAGGUGUAGCGGUGAAAUGCGUAGAGAUCUGAAGGAACACCAGUGGCGAAGGCGACUACCUGGCACGAUACUGACACUGAGGCGCGAAAGCGUGGGGAGCAAACAGGA
rnacentral:rRNA from 1 species